rnacentral:rRNA from 1 species
AUUGAACGCUGGCGGCAUGCUUUACACAUGCAAGUCGAACGGCAGCACGGACUUCGGUCUGGUGGCGAGUGGUGAACGGGUGAGUAAUACAUCGGAACGUACCCAGUAAUGGGGGAUAACUAUCCGAAAGGAUAGCUAAUACCGCAUACGCCCUACGGGGGAAAGAGGGGGAUCGCAAGACCUCUUGUUAUUGGAGCGGCCGAUGGCUGAUUAGCUAGUUGGUGAGGUAAAGGCUCACCAAGGCGACGAUCAGUAGCGGGUCUUAGAGGACGAUCCGCCACACUGGAACUGAGACACGGUCCAGACUCCUACGGGAGGCAGCAGUGGGGAAUCUUGGACAAUGGGCGCAAGCCUGAUCCAGCAAUGCCGCGUGCGUGAAGAAGGCCUUCGGGUUGUAAAGCGCUUUUGUCAGGGAGCAAAUCCUUGUGGCUAAUACCCACCGGGGAUGAGAGUACCUGAAGAAUAAGGACCGGCUAACUACGUGCCAGCCGCCGCUGUAACAC